rnacentral:lncRNA from 1 species
GGGAGGAAGAAAUGGAUUAAUUUGUUUAUUGAGAAAACACUUGAUGUUGGAUCGAGUUUUUAUUUUUGAUCCUUUAGAAAUGGUUGAUUUUAUUCUUGUGUUAUUAGCUAACUAAACAGUCAAGCAAAUAAAGAAAUAAAAAGUGAUAAAAUUAUUACAUGCCAUGGGAGUGGGGGUACAUUUUAUCGAAUGGGGAUUCAAAGUAAUGAAAUAAUUAAAUCGGAUCAAUCAAUGAAUAAACAAGGCAUGAGUGUAGGUGUAAGAGAACUGUCUCAUUGUAAGAAGGCCCAAGAGUAAGCCAUGCGAAGAAAAUAAAUAACACAACAAGUUAUAUUCACAAGGCACUCAAAAAUUAAAUUGAAAGAAACAACAUCGGGACGUGCACGGAUAAAAAUCGGGAUGCGAGGAUGUGAAUCAAAGUCACAUAACGCAAGAACGUGCACAGAGGUGGAAAUUGAAAAGCAAACAUGAAACCUAGAUAAUGUGCUCAAAGCCGGUUUGCACAUAUUGACAAUAAUUGAAAUGUCAUAUGCGAUUAAUCAUAACACGGCAAAAUUCUAUUGAUAUUUCGAUAAAAUAAUUAUAGAUAAACAACAUGAGAGUUAUUGAAUCCAUAAAUUAAAAUCGAUGCUUUGUCAAUUAAAAAUAAAUAAAAGGGAAAGCAUUACAAAAUAAGUAUAGGAGAAAUUGGGUUAAGACAUAAACAUGAAAAAUUAACAAUAGGAAGUUAAAUGCUAAAAAAACAAAAUGCCACAAGUGGGAUUCAAACCCACUACAAAAGGGGAGAUGAACUAACUCCAUCUCCACCCGAACACAAGUUGUUUACUGCUAGGCUACGACCAACAAAUACCUAAGUGCUAACCGAGAAAGAAAAAAAAAACAACAAUAAACCAACAAAAAUGGGUCGCUGGAUUUCUAUGGGAUCCAAGAGUCAACCCUAGCCACAUGGUUGUGGGGUUAGAAAUAAGACAAGUUUCCAUCAUUGAUGGCUAGCUGUUAGCUUUUAAUGCAAAACGACUAAAAUGAACAGUCAAGAGACUUGGUUAGAGCAUAUUAGACAGGUGUCAAUUUCCAACGGAAGAAAACAUUAAAAUCAAUCAUAAAAAAACGUAGAGAAGCAGCAAUCAAAUAAAAAAAGACAUUCAUACCAAUCUCACUCCCUCACGAGAAAUCCAAACUGUCACAACGAAAUCCAAUGGCGGUUGAGAAGGUAAUGCUAAAAACUCUCUUCCGAAUGCUCUAUUGUUGGUCGGUUCACCCUCCUCCUGAACCCGCUCACUUGCUUCGCCUUUUCACCUUCUACUCUGUGUCUUUGUUGUCGGUAUUGAAUCGGUUUUGAGUGACAAAGCUUAGCUCAGGCCGAUUACGUUUUUAAGUGAUUGCUCAACAAAUCUUCUGAAAAAUGGAGCUUUGAGUGACGUUCACCAUACGUUUCUGUAGGGAAACGGUAGGGUUUUCUUUCUCUCUUUUCUAUCUGAUUUUUUCUUUGUGAACAGUAUCGGCGCCCCCCUUUACAAUUAGGGUUGGUGUCCUUUUUAUAUGUGUGGAAAGUGAGUACAACCGGUGCGCAAGAACACGUCAGUGGGGUUUUUGAAUCAAUCUCUUGCUAGCGGUUUUUGUCCUCAAGCCCUGAUUCAAAGAAUCCUUUUUGAGUGGUGGUGAGAGUGUGUACGGGAAUCCUUGGGAUUUUUGUCUUUGUCUGCCUUGUGGUCCCCCUUCCACUCCCAGCUUAAACCUUUACCGUUAGUAAUUGGCUAUUUACUGUUGUGAAUUCUUGCUUUAUGAAAUUAUUAACUCAUGUAUUAUGCUGCAGAUGGGAUGAAACACUUUUGCAGGGCAAGGUCUUGUGAAGGGUGGUGAGUGUGGAGCUCUUCGCAACAUUCUCAGAGGAUCCUCCAGUGGAAGGCCACUGUGGUCAAUCAAAUCAAACAGCGCCGAGUAACGCUUCAACUAAUUGCAGACUCUUGAGUCCAGCCUCGCCUUGUUGUGUUCCGCUUCUUGUUCUACAAUAACGGUAAUUGUAGGAUUGAUGCUGCGAAUGAGACCCAAAAAGUCUCUCAAUGCUCCUCCACUGCCAUCAUGGAGGGUCUUGUGGAGCUGGAAAACACAGUUCACAGCCACAGUUUCAUGUUCCUAAAACUCAACAUCUCUUUGUACAAUUCUUCUGCUAAGAUGUUCUUCCUCUAAAUCGAUGUCACCCAUCUAGGCCAUGAUUUGCAACUUCCAACAAAAGCUUGCUCGCAUCUCGACUCUAAGCACUCACUCACGUAGUCGAAUAAAACCUUCCUAUCAAGCUUAGAGUACUCUUCUCCUCAGUAUGUUGUUGUUCCAGUACUGUGAUUCUCCAACAGAUCGAAGAGAUUUGGCAUUAUGAUUGUGUUAGUUCGACCCAUGAGGAAUUCUUCUGCCAUGAACUCUGCAUUGCCGAGUAUGUUCUGUACAUAGUCAAGUUCCAUAAUGCCUGAUCUUUUAAAAUCUACCAUGUUCGGUGAUCUGAUUAUUUGUGUGACAGACAUGUUACGUGCAGUAGAUACGGAAGAGCUUUGCUCUAACGACGUCGCUUCAUUUUCAAGUGAUUCAGAUCCGUUUAUCUGGGAAAUGUUAGAUACUUCCUCAUCUUGCAUGGAUGAAUAAAUCGUGCUGCCAUAUGUACUAUCUUCACUAUCCAUGUAACUUUCACUAACAGAAGGACCUUGAAAGUUUGUAUCAGCAUUGGAAUACUGAAAACCAAGACCAUUUCCACUUUCAUCGUUGCUACUAUAGCUAGGAUCUUCUCUUACUUCCGAUGUCUGUAGUUGUUGAUUCGUGUUAAGCACUAGCUCGUCAAUUGAAUAAUAUCGAUAGUUAUGCAUUCUAUCAAGUUCAUCACUGAACAUUUCAUCUUGUUCCUUAUCUAUGGUGUUUACGAUACUGGAUGCUUUAUCUUACAAACUAGAUCUCAAAUCAGUAGAUGGCUCCUCCGAGGCUAGGGUACAUUGAGGUAAGUUAAGUCUCGGUGUUAAUUCUUGAAGCUUUUACUCCAACAGAACACUCAAUGUAUCACUAUCUAUCAUAUGUGUCGGAGAUAGUGAUAAUUUUUUGGGAUGAAGAUUAUCAUUGUGCCCGAGAGAGUCGACACCAGAUCUAGUUCUGGUUUUCGUCACCUAGUCAGAGGAUAGUGACUCCGGCAUGCUUUUCCUCAAGGGAGAUGUAAAUGUAAAUGAAAUAACAUCACUGCUUUCGUUCAUGUUAAAUGCAUUCUGAUCAAUACUUCCAUCAGUCGUAUAAUUGCAUUUUAUGGACUUGCUUUCGAAAUCGCUUUUUGCAUGAUCGGGACUUCUUGCCUCGUGAAAACCUUCGUUGUUAUACUUUUUCUCUUGGGAAAUACUUUGUGUUUUGGAUGGAGGAAACUCCUUUCGGUUAUCAGUUACCCUAGAGCCUGACCUUUUAGGAGGAAUAUUGACAUUCGUAGCACUCUUGUUUGUUGCCUUCCUAAUUCCGGUAGAACUUUCAGAAGAAGAACCUCGCGUUGUUGGCUUGUUUGAAUCUAUUUUUGAGGCUGAUUUACCUUUGGAAAUCAUGCCGUUUUGCUUUUGAUUAUUCUGAAUCAGCACAUUGCUGUUACGACUUGCAUUCGUUUUCUGCGGCAAUGCUCGGUUUAUAAUUGGUUUUUGGCUUUGAUAGUGACCAUUGUGAUUUGGUUUAAUUUUUGUAGGGCCACAGUUGUGUUUGCUGUAGUGACCAUGCCGCUGGACUAACCAGUUGUACCAGCAUUUGCCGUUUGAGUUUGGGUCUUUUCUCGGGAUAGAAACCAG